CCUCUGGGCUCUGCAGGGCCCCUCCAUUCAGCAUUUAAAAGAGACAUGGAGAUGGGUGUCCAGGAAGAACUGGACAAAACUUAAAAAGUUGAUGAAAACUAGCCAGCGGGAGAGCAGGAAGCUGCUCAAGGAGGACGUGACCUCUGUGUGGGCCACCUUAGAGAUGGAUCCCCAGGGAGCCCAGGAGAGACAGCAGCAGCAGGGUGUCGUCCCCUUCCUGGGCACGUUCCUCUAUCACCUGAAGCUGCUGGACAUUGGGAUGGAGGAUGAUCUGGAAGUGAGUGAGC